UACGUAGGGGGCAAGCGUUAUCCGGAUUUACUGGGUGUAAAGGGAGCGUAGACGGCUGUGCAAGCCAGAUGUGAAAGCCCGGGGCUCAACCCCGGGACUGCAUUUGGAACUGCGUGGCUUGAGUGUCGGAGAGGCAGGCGGAAUUCCUAGUGUAGCGGUGAAAUGCGUAGAUAUUAGGAGGAACACCAGUGGCGAAGGCGGCCUGCUGGACGACAACUGACGGUGAGGCGCGAAAGCGUGGGGAGCAAACAGG
rnacentral:rRNA from 1 species